GCGGGGGCGGCUCCGGGGCCUGAGCGGGCGCCGCCACCGCCUCAGCCUUGGAGGCCGGGCCGGAGGAGGCGGAGGAGGCUGCGGCCGCCGGAGACCUUUUCGACGCCCCCAGCUCCAGUCGGGAAGAUGAUUGAGGAAAGUGGGAACAAGCGGAAGACCAUGGCAGAGAAGAGGCAGCUGUUCAUAGAAAUGCGUGCUCAGAAUUUUGAUGUCAUACGACUAUCAACUUACAGAACAGCUUGCAAAUUGAGAUUUGUACAAAAACGAUGCAACCUCCAUCUUGUUGAUAUCUGGAACAUGAUUGAAGCCUUCCGAGACAAUGGCCUUAAUACACUGGAUCAUACCACUGAGAUCAGUGUGUCUCGCCUCGAGACCGUCAUCUCAUCCAUCUACUACCAGCUGAACAAGCGCCUUCCUUCAACUCACCAAAUCAGUGUGGAACAGUCCAUCAGCCUCCUCCUCAACUUUAUGAUUGCUGCAUAUGACAGUGAGGGCCGAGGCAAGUUGACGGUAUUUUCAGUUAAAGCUAUGUUAGCAACCAUGUGUGGUGGAAAAAUGCUGGACAAAUUGAGAUAUGUUUUCUCCCAGAUGUCAGAUUCCAAUGGCUUAAUGAUAUUUAGCAAGUUUGACCAGUUUCUGAAGGAAGUUCUGAAGCUCCCAACAGCUGUCUUUGAAGGGCCAUCUUUUGGUUACACAGAGCACUCAGUCCGCACCUGUUUUCCACAGCAGAAAAAGAUAAUGCUAAAUAUGUUUUUAGACACCAUGAUGGCCGAUCCUCCUCCCCAGUGCCUUGUCUGGCUACCUCUCAUGCAUAGGCUUGCCCACGUUGAGAAUGUCUUCCACCCCGUGGAGUGCUCCUAUUGCCGGUGUGAGAGUAUGAUGGGUUUCCGGUACCGAUGCCAGCAGUGCCACAACUACCAGCUCUGCCAAAAUUGCUUUUGGCGUGGCCAUGCCAAUGGCCCUCACAGCAACCAACACCAGAUGAAGGAGCAUUCCUCUUGGAAAUCCCCUGCAAAGAAGCUGAGCCAUGCAAUUAGUAAAUCCUUGGGGUGUGUACCCACCAGAGAACCUCCGCAUCCUGUUUUUCCUGAACAACCAGAGAAACCACUUGACCUUGCAAAUAUAGUUCCUCCUCGCCCUCUGACGAAUGUGAAUGACACCGUGGUGAGCCACAUGUCCUCCGGGGCACCCACUCCCACCAAGAGGUUACAGUAUAGCCAGGAUAUACCCAGUCACUUGGCUGAUGAGCAUGCGCUGAUAGCCUCCUUUGUGGCCCGUCUGCAGCACUGUGCACGUGUCCUGGAGAGUCCUAGCCGACUGGACGAGGAACACCGGCUUAUAGCUCGCUACGCUGCCCGGCUGGCUGCAGAGGCAGGAAACAUGACCCGUCCUCCCACCGACUUGAGCUUUAACUUCGAUGCCAACAAACAACAAAGACAGCUUAUUGCAGAACUGGAAAACAAAAACAGAGAGAUCCUGCAGGAGAUCCAGCGUCUCCGUCUGGAGCACGAGCAGGCUUCCCAGCCCACCCCGGAGAAGGCCCAACAGAGCCCCACACUGCUGGCAGAGCUGCGGCUGCUCAGGCAGAGAAAAGAUGAGCUGGAGCAGAGGAUGUCAGCGCUGCAGGAGAGCAGGCGGGAGCUGAUGGUCCAGCUGGAAGGGCUGAUGAAGCUGCUGAAGGAGGAAGAGCAAAAGCAGGCAGCUCAGGCCACAGGAUCGCCACAUACGUCGCCCACUCACGGAGGCGGCCGCCCGAUGCCCAUGCCCGUGCGCUCCACCUCCGCUGGCUCCACACCCACCCACUGCCCGCAGGACCCGCUGAGCGGAGUCGGUGGGGACGUGCAGGAGGCCUUCGCCCAGGGUGAAGAAGAGGGAGGAGGACCGCAGACCUGGGUACCGGUGCUCCUGACGGCCUGGGAGCGGGCAGAGCUGCUCGGCCCAUCUCCCGCUAGGAAUUCUGCCCUGAGUCCCAGGGCCCCGCCAACCGAGGCGUUCGCUCAGCUCUCUCCCCCCAACCCACCCGGCAUCGCCAUCUGCUCUGACUGCCCUCAGGUACGAGGAGAGACCUCCGCAAUGACCUGCUGGUGGCCGCUGACUCCAUCACCAGCACCAUGUCAUCCCUGGUGAAGGAGCUCCACUCAGCAGGGGAAGGUGCAGAGGAAGAAGAAGAGAAGAUGCAGAAUGGGAAAGACAGAGGUUAGCGGAGGAGCCGGGACAGAGAGGAAGCGCGGUCACAAUUCUUCUUCCUAUGAAACCACCACAUUCCAAACCUUGCACUGCGAACACAGUUCCUUCUUUCCUGGAAACAUUUCCUGACCCUGUGACCUAAGCAAGGACUCCAAAGACUCAAGAUACCCCCAGAAAAGAGAAUGCCCCCUUCCCUAAAAGGAGGAGAAGGAGGGGAAGGAGGAGAGAGUGUGAGUAUUGUCACUCGUGGCAUGUCCUGAGUUGAAAGGCACAGGGGACGUGGAGUGAGCUGUGGCACCAGCACGAGGAAGGCGAGGUGUUCCCCCAGAGGCGCAUUCCUGUCCAUCUUUCGGCUGCUCACCUGGACCAGGCUUGCAGGCUGCCAGACGUCACCACCCGCUGGGGCGAGGGGAGCCCAGACGGUGCGAAGUGGGAGGGACUGCUGGUGCUGCCUCGGGCACCCCCCCCCCCCCUCGCCCAGUCCUGCAUGAACUAGCAUCUU